AUUGAACGCUGGCGGCAGGCCUAACACAUGCAAGUCGAACGGUAACAGGAAGCAGCUUGCUGCUUUGCUGACGAGUGGCGGACGGGUGAGUAAUGUCUGGGAAACUGCCUGAUGGAGGGGGAUAACUACUGGAAACGGUAGCUAAUACCGCAUAACGUCGCAAGACCAAAGAGGGGGACCUUCGGGCCUCUUGCCAUCGGAUGUGCCCAGAUGGGAUUAGCUAGUAGGUGCGGUAACGGCUCACCUAGGCGACGAUCCCUAGCUGGUCUGAGAGGAUGACCAGCCACACUGGAACUGAGACACGGUCCAGACUCCUACGGGAGGCAGCAGUGGGGAAUAUUGCACAAUGGGCGCAAGCCUGAUGCAGCCAUGCCGCGUGUAUGAAGAAGGCCUUCGGGUUGUAAAGUACUUUCAGCGGGGAGGAAGGGAGUAAAGUUAAUACCUUUGCUCAUUGACGUUACCCGCAGAAGAAGCACCGGCUAACUCCGUG
rnacentral:rRNA from 1 species